rnacentral:rRNA from 1 species
UACGAAGGGUGCAAGCGUUACUCGGAAUUACUGGGCGUAAAGCGUGCGUAGGUGGUCGUUUUAAGUCUGUUGUGAAAGCCCUGGGCUCAACCUGGGAACUGCAGUGGAAACUGGACGACUAGAGUGUGGUAGAGGGUAGCGGAAUUCCCGGUGUAGCAGUGAAAUGCGUAGAGAUCGGGAGGAACAUCCAUGGCGAAGGCAGCUACCUGGACCAACACUGACGUUCAGGCACGAAAGCGUGGGGAGCAAACAGG